AUUGAACGCUGGCGGAAUGCUUUACACAUGCAAGUCGAACGGUAGAGGGGGCAACCCCUCGAGAGUGGCGAACGGGUGAGUAAUAUAUCGGAACGUGCCCAGUCGUGGGGGAUAACGUAGCGAAAGUUACGCUAAUACCGCAUACGAUCUAAGGAUGAAAGCGGGGGAUCGCAAGAUCUCGCGCGAUUGGAGCGGCCGAUAUCAGAUUAGGUAGUUGGUGGGGUAAAGGCUAACCAAGCCAACGAUCUGUAGCUGGUCUGAGAGGACGACCAGCCACACUGGAACUGAGACACGGUCCAGACUCCUACGGGAGGCAGCAGUGGGGAAUUUUGGACAAUGGACGCAAGUCUGAUCCAGCCAUUCCGCGUGCAGGAUGAAGGCCCUCGGGUUGUAAACUGCUUUUGUACGGAACGAAAAGGUCUCUCUUAAUACGGGGGACUCAUGACGGUACCGUAAGAAUAAGCACCGGCUAACUACGUGCCAGCCGCCGCCGUAAGAC
rnacentral:rRNA from 1 species